rnacentral:snRNA from 14 species
UGACUAAUGUCGUGCAGUUUCCAUAAUCAAGUUUUCCCAGGGUGAGGCCUAUCCCUUGCAGUUUGGGCAGGCUGACCCUGUGAGUUCCCCAAACAUGAGAAACUUGAUUGCCCAAUGUUGUAGUAAUGGGGGACUGUGUUUGUGCAUUCUCCCU